rnacentral:rRNA from 1 species
AUUGAACGCUGGCGGCAGGCUUAACACAUGCAAGUCGAGCGGAGCGAGGGUGCUUGCACCUUAUCUUAGCGGCGGACGGGUGAGUAAUGCUUAGGAAUCUGCCUAUUAGUGGGGGACAACAUUCCGAAAGGAAUGCUAAUACCGCAUACGUCCUACGGGAGAAAGCAGGGGAUCUUCGGACCUUGCGCUAAUAGAUGAGCCUAAGUCGGAUUAGCUAGUUGGUGGGGUAAAGGCCUACCAAGGCGACGAUCUGUAGCGGGUCUGGGAGGAUGAUCCGCCACACUGGGACUGAGACACGGCCCAGACUCCUACGGGAGGCAGCAGUGGGGAAUAUUGGACAAUGGGGGGAACCCUGAUCCAGCCACGCCGCGUGUGUGAAGAAGGCCUUAUGGUUGUAAAGCACUUUAAGCGAGGAGGAGGCUACUGAGACUAAUACUCUUGGAUAGUGGACGUUACUCGCAGAAUAAGCACCGGCUAACUCUGUGCCAGCAGCCGCGGUAA